ensembl:lncRNA HRG-AS1 HRG and FETUB antisense RNA 1
GAAGCACGGAGCGAUGUAGCUGUGUGGCCCCAGAGCCAGGGCCAGACACUUGGGUAGAGACGGGGUUUCGCCAUGUUGGCCAGGCUGGUCUCGCACUCCUGACCUCAAGUGAUCCGCCUGCCUUGGCCUCCCAAAGUGCUGGGAUUACAGACGUGAAGCCACUGCGCCCGGCUGGUUGCUGGCAGAGGUGGUUGGGGCUAUGUGCCUGGAGUGAAGAUUCUGCCCAUUGGUCAAGAGACCUCCCUCUCAGAUGCUGGCUCUGCCCCUGCCUUUGGGGGUCGACCCUUGUACUCGCAGGACCUUAGGUGACUCUGACUUUGUCAAAGGAAAAAUUUCUGCAUGUGCACACACAGAUCUUGGAAGUUUAUUCAUCUCAGCAGAGGCAGACAGGAGCAUCAACAGCCUUGGGGACAGCAGCAGUGGUGGUGGAGUCUGACUCUGUCGCCCAGGCUGAAGUGCAGUGGCACAAUCUCGGCUCACUGCAACCUCCGCCUCCCGGGUCCAAGCCAUUCUUGUGCCUUAGCCUCCUGAGUAGCUGGGAUUGAAGAUUCUACUUCUCUGAUCAUCCAGGAAGCCAACCUGCCUGAGGACGAGUCAUACUCUGUCCUCCCACCCCAGGCCAGAGAGUGGUAUCUGUCUUUCCACAAGUUGCCAACCCUUCUGCCCUGGAGACCUGAGUUGCCUGUGCUUCAACACCAUUCUUCAUUCUGCCUUUCACAAAAUGUACCACCUAAGUGAUAAG